rnacentral:rRNA from 1 species
GAUCAAGCGCAAAAGGGCAUUU